rnacentral:rRNA from 1 species
GAUGAACGCUGGCGGCGUGCCUAAUACAUGCAAGUCGAGCGAAUGGAUUGAUAGCUUGCUCUUAUGAAGUUAGCGGCGGACGGGUGAGUAACACGUGGGUAACCUGCCCAUAAGACUGGGAUAACACCGGGACACCGGGUCUAAUACCGGAUAACAUUUUGAACCGCAUGGUUCGAAAUUGCAAGCCGGCUUCGGCUGUCACUUAUGGAUGGACCCGCGUCGCAUUAGCUAGGUGGUGAGGUAACGGCUCACCAAGGCAACGAUGCGUAGCCGACCUGAGAGGGUGGUCGGCCACACUGGGACUGAGACACGGCCCAGACUCCUACGGGGGGCAGCAGUAAGAAAUCUUCCGCAAUGGACGAAAGUCUGACGGAGCAACGCCGCGUGAGUGGUGAAGGCUUUCGGGUCGUAAAACUCUGUUGUUAGGGAAGAACAAGUGCUAGUUGAAUAAGCUGGCACCUUGACGGUAUCUAACCAGAAAGCCACGGCUAACUACGUGCCAGCCGCCGCAGUAA